UCAGCUUUAUCACUGAUAGCUCUUAUAUUGGAGUCAGUGGUUCUAUAUGUGUGGAGAAUCGCAGGUUGUAAGAGAAUUAAUUUCCCAAGAAAUACAUCUUAAAGGGUGCAGCUGGACUCCAGGAAAUUUGCCACCUGGCCUGCCAGACAGAAGUGUUCAAUGUGAUCACAAGUGCCUUGUCCACUAAAAGCCUCUCGAGACUUCUGAUUAUAAGUCAAACUUACGCGGAAUCCAGGAUUUCUGUCUGCUUGGUGCUGCUUGUAGUUCAGAAUUUCUGACUUUCUUACUGCUUGGAUGCCUGUUUGCCUAUUGCACUAAGAUGACCGAUGUCACCAGCAUCUCUAGGAAGUGAAUGCUUGGUAUGGUUAUCUUGUUGUCAUGACAAGAUUGAAACUAAUUUUAUGUUUAAAAAAUUAGUCAGAGCCACAUAUUGUAUGAUUCCAUUUAUAUGAAAUGUCCAGGGUAGGUAAAUACGUCGAUACAGAAAGUAGAUCAGUGGCUGCCUAGGGUCUGGGGAGUUUGGAGGGGAAAUCAGAAUGGCUGCUUAUGGGUAUGGGGUUUUUUUCUGCAGGGGGGUGAGGAAAUUUCCAAAAUUCUUUGUGGCAAUGGUUGCACAACUUUGUGUAUAUACAGAAAACCACUGAGUCACACAUUUUAAAUGGGUGGAUAGUAUGGAAUGUGAAUUGUAUCUCAAUAAAACAGGAAAUACGGAGGCAGCACUGGGGGGGGUGUGUGUACAGGAAUUUGUUCCAGUGAAAGAGAUAAACCACCUUCUAUUACUGAAGGAGUAGUCUGGUCUCUUAGCCUAUUUACCAUAUAUAUAUAUAUAUAUAUAUAUAUAUACACAUACACACACACACACACACACACACACACACACAUAUAGUUUCUAUUUGGGGCCUUUUUAUAGUCUUAUUAUUGUUAGUGAGAAACUUUUUAAGUCAAAAACCACUUGGUUACAGUGAGGCCUUGGUUACAGCUUUCCUUUGUUUUCAAUCAAAAAUAAACAUGACUAAUGUCACCAUGGUUCAGCUCAACCACAUGCAUGGAUUCAGGAAGUUUGGGACAUGUGCUAGGAGCUAGCAGAGCUGAUAGGCUGGAGAUUCGGCUUCUUGGAGAGACAGUGGUUGGCCAUACUUGGGCUCCAGAACCAAGAUAUUGGUAAAGGCUGGGCAACUGUCUUCCCCUGACCUGGGGGUCAAAGGUUGCUGUGGAAAGAAACCUGAAGGGAAAGAGAGUUCUCUGGCUUGGUCUGGACAUCCAGGCUGCAAAUGCCUGAGAAGGGCAGAUUUUGAGCCCAACAUUCCCCUAAUUAACUUCCAGCCCAGCACCCCUCUUCCACCUCACCAGCCCCCACCCCAGUCACAGACUUCCAAGAGAAACCAUACCAGGUCAGGGGAACGGUGGGCCCAGGGGGUCUAUGAUGAAAUGACUGCACCAGAGGCAGGUGCAGCAGGAACUCAAGGAUAUGAGCCAAUUCUGCCCUGGCAUGUAGUAACAAGUGUCUGUGUUAGUUGAUUUUAUGUGUCAACUUGGCUGGGCCACUGUGCCCAGGUAUUUGCUCCAAUAUGAUUCUAGAUGUUUCUAUGAGGGUAUUUUGGGCUGAGAUUUACAUUAAAUCAGUGAACUUUUUUUGGGGGGUGUGUCUUUUUCAGACCACACCCAUGAUAUAUAAAAGUUCCCAUGAUAUAUAGGGGUCGAAUCAGAGCUAUAGCUUCCCUCCUACACCACAACCAUAGCAACUUAGGAUCCAAGCUGCGUCUGCUACCUACACCACAGCUCAUGGAAUACCAGAUCCUUAACCCACUGAGCAAGGCCAGAGAUCAAAUCUGCAUCCUCAUGGAUUCUAGUUGGGUUUGUCACCCCGAGCCACAACGGAACUCGCUAAAUCUUUGGAUAAGACUGAAUAAAACAGAUUGCCCUCCUUGGUUUGGGUGGGCCUCAUCCAAUCAGUCAAGGGCCUAAAUAGAACAAAAGGCCAACCUUCCUGGAGCAAGAAGGAAUCCUGCCAGCCGACUGCCCUACCACUUCAUAUGCAGUGUUGGCUGAUCCUGGCUUGCUAGUAGAAUCUGUGGAUUCAAAUCACAACUGUCCCCUGAGUCGCCAGCCUGUUGCUGACCUCCACCAUCAGAAUUUGGACUUGCCAAGCCUCCACAAUGGUGUGAGCCAAUUCUUUAAAUCUUCUUCUCUAUAUAAACACAUCCUAUUAGUUCUGUUUCUCUGGAAAACCCUGACUAAUACAGGGCCACAUUUCUCUCUCUUAAGGAGUGACACUAGCGCUGUGACCUCACCAAGAGGAGAUGAGAAGACUGCAAAACAGGGACAGUUGGUUCCUGAGUAGGAGCUGAGGUUUCAGUGCAGUGACAUAGUGAGCACAGCUGGUGGGAGAGCCACUUGAGCAGCUCUCAUGGUACCUCUAACUGGAGAAGAGGGGAUGCAAGACCCUACUUCUUACCUGUACCCCUGACUGGGGUAGCCUGGAGAAACGUGGGUUCGCUGAAAUCCUUGAGGAAAUCCUGCCUGCCAAGCUGGGGUCUUCAUGUAGAAAGUGCUUCCUAGAGGGAGGAUCAGUCCAGGUUGGCUCUGCAGGCUUGGGAGGAAGGGGUGAUUUCAAAUUUGUGUUCUUUGUGGAAAGCUCAUCCAAUACUCAUUAGGUGUGGGUGGUAACCGAAACGCCCCUAACAAAUAGCAAAUAGCAACUCUGGAAAAUCCUCCUGCAUGCAGGACAAUGCAUGGCAACCAGCAGGGGCUCACACCUUGAAAUAAAUAACAUCCUUUAUGUUACACAUGCUGGCUGCAAACUAUGAACUGCAUUGAAACAUAUAGUCACGUGCAUACUUUGAAUUGUGCUGGUAAAAGGAUGGAAGGAGAAAGGGACCUUGAUAUUUAGGAGGAGAGGAGAAGAGCUCCACGAGGGCAGUUACACAAGAGAAGGUUUGGAAGAGGAAAUGAGGAAGCAGGAGCAAAGCGAAGGCCAAAGUCAACCGAAACAGGAAAAUCAGCCAGAACGUACACUGCUUGGUCUUUGAAGACAUUUCCUUCAAGUCCCACCCUGCUGCAAAGCCUAACAAAGCUGGGACAGCGAGUGCCCUUGCCUUGGGGCCUCUGAGACACACGCUGUCUCUGCUGCUUCUUUGGUACAUGGCAUGGUUUUCUGGAAUCAUAAGUGUUUCUGUACAAAUGCCGUGGUUCUCCAAUUAAAUUUAAAGGCAGCCCCGCCCCCUAUCUUUUUUGAAAUAGUAUAUCCUUAGUGCAAGAAAUAUAACCAGACUAGGAUUUAAGCACAAAAGAAAUUAAUACAGGGAAGUUGGUGCUUAUAAAAGAGUUGGAAGUACUGAGGGAACAAGCAUCUGGGCUGGGGCCUUUGGAAUCUCUCUGAAAAUCCAUAGAACUGAUGCCCAGCCCAGCCCUCCCAGGAGCUAUAACCUUGACCCAGUUUAGGAGCAGGGAGAAUCAGGGGCUGCCCUGAUACUACUGUAUUCAUGAACACACUGCAGCUGUACUUGAAAAAUGUUGAAGUUGGGAUCAGGAACCACCACUGCUGUCAUCGACUAGAAUCUUGAUCAAGCAAGCCAAGAAAAGGAAGCCGACGGCUUUUGCUCUCUGAAACUCGCACAAUCAGUGAGUUGCACAACUACAAGAGCAUCUAGGAGAUGUAAGCUUUCCAGGCUUACACAGAGAGGCACCCCAGGGAGAGGUAGGAAUGGAUGCUCAAUGCCAGUCAAUUUCCCUCACAAGCAGUGCUGAUGACCGGGGUGUUGUCCUUACCCUGGCUCAUGGGCUAUCUUGCGCUGGUUCUGUUCAGCCCUACCCCAAAUCAAAUGCAAGUCUUCUCCUCCCCUACCCCCAUGCCACUAGAUGUCCAGGGCCCCACCUUCCUUCUCAAAAGCUGAUGAACCUUCCAGGAUGAUGGAAGGAGGGACUGUCCAUAUGGAGCAGGGAGAAGGGAGAUCCAACAAUUUCUCCUGCCUGACGGGCAAUGGAGGAAGCCUGGUUGCCACCAAGUGUAGGUCGCUAGACACCUGCCACAAGGCAACCAGCAUAGCCCGCUGGCAUAAGGCACAGAGCUCACUCAGAAGCAGACUGGCACUCAGUCCUGGCCCCUCCUGUCUCUCAUCACUUCCCUCUCAUUCUGUAGCCUGGGGAAUACUUUCCUAAUCUGGGUAAGAAGCUUUGCUUUUACUCCUGAUGUUUUCUGCAUCUGCUGCCUCUGGUCCAUAAGGGCCUAGACCAAUGGUUUUUGAACAUUACCUGUGUCCAAAUCACUUGGAGGGCUUAAGAAGACAGACUGCUGGGCCUCACCCUCAGAAAUACUGAUUCAGGUCUGGGAUGGGGCCCAAGAAUUUGCCUUUCGAACAAGUACCCAGGUGGUACCCAGGUGGUACCCAGGUGAUACUGAUGCUGCUGGUCCGGGGACUGCACCCUAAGAACUUAUGAUUUUACUCCAAGGCUUUUUUUUUUUUUUCUUUAAGGGCCACACCCGCAACAGAUGGAAGUUCCCAGGCUAGGGGUGGAAUCAGAGCUGCAGCUGCCAGCCUACACCACAGUCACAGCAACUCCGGAUCUUUAACUCAUUGAACAAGGUUAGCAGUACACACACAUCCAGUUCCUGGUCUGCCUCUCCCUGCUGUGUGACCCACAGUCUCAUGGAUACUAGUUGGGUUCGUAAAUUGUUGAGUCACAAAGGGAACCCCAGACCAAGUCUACCUUGGAGGACAAAAGGGAGUGAGUCCUGCCUUGCUGAUUUUCCUCCCUCUUCUCUUCCUCUCCCUCCUGGACCUUCAGUCCCUCCCUCACCCCUCUGCUCUCUCAGGUCUUGCUUCUUCCCUCUGUCCGUUCCUGGCUGGCAGCGAAAUGGCUCGAUCCAGUCUUCUCCCAAGUGGAAGAGCCUAAGCUCCUACUUCUGGACCCUGUGCUGAGCCAUGUGUGUCUGACAUCUCAUUUAACCCUCAUGACAAUCUGCAGGAUGGUAUUUUAUCCUCAUUUCACAGACGAGGAAAUGAUGGGUCAGAGAGGUCACACCCCUAGGAGUUGGUGAAUCCAGGAUUUGAGUCCAGUUCUCUUGGAUUCCUGGGCCCUCCCCCACAUGUUCAUGAUUCUGUGUCAUUUUGCGUCCCCCGCAUAGGACCGAGACCUUCCAAAGGAGACCCUCCAUCACGGGAGUGACUCCAUGGAAGAUGCCAGUCUCCAGGCCAAAGCUUUCUGGGACACAUCACUCCCAGCAGGCACUGUGGGACCAUUGUUUCCACCCAGGGAACAUCUUCCCUGGAUGUAUGUUCACUUCAGGGACAUUCUUUCCGAAAAUGAACUUGGUGAGAACUUACGGUUUUACUCCCAAAAAGCCCACAAAAAUUCCGAGCAAACCCCAAAUUGUGUACAUUGUAAGGAGGAAGUAUGUUAUUUUUGGCAAAAAUAGUCUUAGUCUUGCAGUAAGCCUCUAAAAGCAUAAUAAAAGGGGCUUUUAAUAUCCUGUUUUUUCCUCCUUUUGUUGAUUUUUGAGCAUUUCUUCCCAAGCAAGGGGUUAUGCAACAAGGGUUUCAAAGUUGCCAGAUUUUUGUUUUACUGAUAGUUUUCUUUGGUUCCUUUUCUAUGUUCCUCUUCUUUGAACUUUAACCUAGGAAUUGAAGUGACUAUAAAGCUCACUGAAAAUGGCCUACAGACCACACGGGGAUGGAUAACAGUUACCUGGAGCAAAAAGAAAAGCUCUGACAAGCUAACUGCAGGCUAUGAAGUCAUCUAUGGUUCCCUGUCAGUGGGUUUGGCAAGUCUUAAACCUAGGAAUACGGAUCUCUCUGAUACCUGGUCCUUGCCUUUCUUUCUGAACAUCAAAUUUCAGAUCCCUCUGUCUGGGUUUUAAAAGCAUCCCUUCCCCAUUUCCCAUGAAAGCAGAUCUGGUGCAGAGGUUAGCAGUACGCACACAUCCAGUUCCUGGUCUGCCUCUCCCUGCUGUGUGAUCUUGUACAAGUUACUUGACCUCUCUGUGGCUCAAUUUCCUUAUCAUAAAAUGAGGGUGAUAAAGCAUCUAAUUCAUAGGGUUGUCUUACGGGUUGAAUAAGUUCAUACAAAAUUCUUACUUAGAGUCAUCUCUGCUGUGUAGUAAAUGCUCAACUAAAGUUGCUCUUAUUAUGAAAUUGCUUUUGUCUUGUGAUGUAAAUUAAAUCACAAUAUGUGUCUACAUCAAUGAACAUCGUUCUGCUUCUAGAUGGGUAGUGGACUCACAAAGUCCUGGUACUUGUCAAAGAUGGGUGGUAGCAGCAGUUCCUCCAGAACAACUUGCUGCUUCUUCUUUUUAUUUUAAUGGCUGUACCUGAGGCACAGCCACAGCUGCAGCCAUGCCGGACCCUUUGGCCCACUGCACUGGGCCAGGGAUUGAACCCAUGCUUCUGCAGUGACUCAGGCCGCAGCAGUCAGAUUCUUAACCCGCUGCACCACAGCAAGAAUGCCUCAAUUUUCUUAUAUGCAACACUACCAUCCUUUUAGUCAGGCCUCUAUUGCUGCUUCAUGUCAAAGACUAAAACAGAGGCGAAAGUCACAAGUUCAAGCAACAUAGCUUGCCAUCAAAAGCCCUGAUACAAAAUGUGGCCUUCCUUGUUUUCAGCCUACUUAGCAAGGCCUGGGUGCCAUGAAACAUCAGUCCUGGCCUUGCCAUUAAUUGGCUGUGUGACAGGGACAAGUUACUUCAGUUCUCUGUGUUUCAGCUCUAAAGGCUUGGACCAGUAUCCUAAAAUCUGGAGCAUCCUAGGGCCCAGGGAAACCUGCACAGGCCUCAGAGAGAAGAUGAAUGGCUGCACACAGGUGUAAAGUUUGAUUGUUUCCAACAAGCCCUGUCUACUGGUAGUGAAGCCAGCUGAAGUAAUGGAAGCAUAAAUAAAAGACAGAGGAAUUCCCGUCGUGGCGCGGUCGUUAACAAAUCCAACUAGGAACCAUGAGGUUGCGGGUUCGAUCCCUGCCCUUGCUCAGUGGGUUAACGAUCCAGCAUUGCCAUGAGCUGUGGUGUAGGUCACAGACGCAGCUCGGAUCCCGCAUUGCUGUGGCUCUGGCGUCGGCUGGCAGCUGCAGCUCCGAUUCAACCCCUAGCCUGGGAACCUCCAUAUGCCA
rnacentral:lncRNA from 1 species